GAGAGAGAGAGCGACGGGAGCGAGUAACGUUAUCAACUCUGGUCCAAGCAGGAAACGGAAACAGUGUUGAGUUUCUCCGUUCUGGGCUUCUGUAGAAACAUGGCGGCCCAACAUGGCGGACUCCGUGAAGAGGACCCGCUCCCUAUGUAGAUAUAAACAGCUCAUUCUAAGGUAAUGAAAACACAACAAUUCUUAUUUUGAGGUGAUUAUACGCAAAAGAAAAUAUACUUAUUAGUAUUGUAUUCCAUUUCUGCUAAUAGAUCACCCUAAUUGUAACACACUGGUCUUUUAACAACUGGAACGCCAAGCAUAUCUUUUACAC